rnacentral:lncRNA from 1 species
CAAAACUCUUUCAUUAAUAUGUCCUAACUUACUGUAAACAGGCCUUGAUGGGUCCUAGAUACAGCAUCUCCUAACAAAAUUAAGGAAAGCAUAAGCUUCAGCCCUAAUAUUAAGAUUAAAUAUAUCAGCUUACACAGGGGUCCCGAGUCACCUGCAUCCCCAAGCACUUGCUUUCUACCAACCUCUAGGUUUGCUGUCUCCCCAAUCUGUCCGUAAGAACAUUCAUAAAUCAACCGUGAGUUUCCUGUUACACCUGGAAAGUAGCACUGGUAAAUAAAGGCAGGUGAACAGACCCAACUGAAGUCAAGCAGGCCAUAUCAUUGCAAGGAAAUGGGAAGGGCCUGAGUAAAGGUUGGAGGUUUAGCUGCAAGAUUGGAGUUAUUCAUUUUUGUUGUUUCUAGGACAGAGCAUGCCUGUCUGUGUAAUUCUCUCUUGCUUUUCCCUUUGAGGACAGCUACUGCACCAGAAACUCCCAAGGCAAGUGGAGUGACUGUAACACUAUUGGCUGGAGAGAAGAAGGGCUUCAGGAUUAAAAACCUGAGGCCUAGAAACCUGGAGCUGUCCGUCAGUCUCAGUGACUGGCGGGUAAGACAGACAACUCCACUCCCUGGACUGCUGGAAGGACUUCAGAGCUUCAGCUUGCAUUUUCUCUGCUCCAUGCACUUGCUAGGAGAAAAACUUCUUUCCAGCAUGCCUGAUAGGUAAGGAAAAAUCAUACCAAUCUUCUCUAAUAUGAAGGGCUUUGGGGACAGGACAUAUAUGUCUGGGAGAUGUGUAAAAGAGAGCUGCAUGAAAUGCAACACUGCAGCAAUACUGCUUCCUGUUUCUGUUCUGUUCUUGUACCUUUCUAAAAAGUUGGUGAGGACUAAAACAACAAGUGAAUCAUAAACUCUUUAAGCUAAAGUAAAGUGACAUUUUGCUUGAAUAGAGAGGAUAAUAUAGAAUCAGGUCUCCAAAUCUGCUGAGGACCUUGACAGCAUUUGCCAAGCAACUGCUCACUGACUGCUAUUGGCAAGGCAUUUUCUUUUCCAACUACAAAACCUGUCUAUUUAUCCUUUUGUAUUUCAAACGUCAAGUUUAAACAAGAAAAAUGUCACUGGGCUCAAGCAAAAGACAUGCACACUGGCAUAAGAAGAAAAU